rnacentral:rRNA from 1 species
CGCAGGGGGCUUACACAUGCAGUCGAGCGGGGAAAGGUACUUUGCUAACUGACCUAGCGGCGGACGGCUGAGUAAUGCUUAGGAAUCUGCCUAUUAGUGGGGGACAACGUUCCGAAAGGAACGCUAAUACCGCAUACGCCCUACGGGGGAAAGCAGGGGAUCUUCGGACCUUGCGCUAAUAGAUGAGCCUAAGUCGGAUUAGCUAGUUGGUGGGGUAAAGGCCUACCAAGGCGACAAUCUGUAGCGGGUCUGAAAGGAUGAUCCGCCACCCUGGGACUGAAACACGGCCCAUACUCCUACGGGAGGCAGCAGUGGGCAAUAUUGGACAAUGGGGGAAACUCUGAUCCACCCUUGCCGCGUGGGUGAAGAAGGCCUUUUUGUUGGAAAACACCUCUUUACCGGAGGAGGAGGCUCCCUUUGACUAAAUAUCCUAGAAGUGGAGGGGACGGUUCACUCCCCAAAAUUAAAGCCCCCGUGCUUAUAUUCUGUUGCCCCCCCCAGCCCCCGGCUAAAUACCAAAAGGGGGGCCGAGGCUCUAUAUUCCGGCAUUUUACUGGGGGGCGCAAAAACACGGUGGCGAAAGAGGGGGUAUUUUUUUAAAAUUCCCGAAAGGCGAAAAUCCCCCUCCAGAAGCUUGUCCUUUUCUGGGAAAGUGGGAUUUUUUUCAUAUACCCUGGAAAAAAGGCUUUAACUAUUUUUUUUUCACAGAUGAUAUUGGCCAAAAUAAAUAUUCUCUGGGUGAAUCGCGUUGGUAAAAAAUAGCCCUUUCAAUAAAAUUUUUGUAAAUAGAAAACAAUCUAAUUGGUGCCUAAGGGACGGCCCUCUCGUGUGGCCCUCGACUUCUCCUGCCUCCCUUUAGAGUAUCUCAAUAUCGCCCCGGGGGGAGAGACAACCCUCGAUCAUAAAAAUUACCCCUGCGUGAUUUUCC